GAUGAACGCUCGCGGCAGGCCUAACACAUGCAAGUCGAGGGAGAAGCCCUUUCGGGGGCAGAAACCGGCGCACGGGUGCGUAACGCGUAUGCAACCUACCUUUCACAGGGGGAUAGCCCGAAGACAUUUGGAUUAAUACCCCAUAAUAUUAUUGGAUGGCAUCAUUUGAUAAUUAAAACUGCGGUGGUGAAAGAUGGGCAUGCGUCCUAUUAGCUAGUUGGAGUGGUAACGGCACCCCAAGGCUACGAUAGGUAGGGGUCCUGAGAGGGAGAUCCCCCACACUGGUACUGAGACAGGGACCAGACUCCUACGGGAGGCAGCAGUGAGGAAUAUUGGUCAAUGGUCGGAAGACUGAACCAGCCAUGCCGCGUGCAGGAAGAAUGCCUUAUGGGUUGUAAACUGCUUUUAUAUGGGAAGAAUAAGGUGUACGUGUACAUUGAUGACGGUACCAUAUGAAUAAGCAUCGGCUAACUCCGUG
rnacentral:rRNA from 1 species